rnacentral:rRNA from 1 species
GGAUCACGUGAGAAACGUGCCCCAGACUCUGGGAUAACAAUUGGAAACGAUUGCUAAUACCGGAUGACGUCGGAGAACCGCAUGGUUCACUGACGAAAGAUAUUUCGGUUUGGGAGCGUCUCGCGGCCUAUCAGCUUGUUGGUGGGGUAAUGGCCUACCAAGGCAACGACGGGUAGCUGGUCUGAGAGGAUGAUCAGCCACACUGGGACUGAGACACGGCCCAGACUCCUACGGGAGGCAGCAGUGGGGAAUCUUGCGCAAUGGGCGAAAGCCUGACGCAGCAACGCCGCGUGCGGGAUGAAGGCCUUCGGGCUGUAAACCGCUUUCAGCAGGAACGAAAAUGACGGUACCUGCAGAAGAAGGAGCGGCCAACUACGUGCCAGCAGCCGCGGUGACACGUAGGCUCCAAGCGUUGUCCGGAUUUAUUGGGCGUAAAGAGCUCGUAGGCGGUUGAGUAAGUCGGGUGUGAAAACUCUGGGCUUAACCCGGAGACGCCAUCCGAUACUGCUCUGACUAGAGUUCAGGAGGGGAGUGGGGAAUUCCUAGUGUAGCGGUGAAAUGCGCAGAUAUUAGGAGGAACACCGGUGGCGAAGGCGCCACUCUGGACUGAAACUGACGCUGAGGAGCGAAAGCAUGGGUAGCAAACAGGAUUAGAUACCCUGGUAGUCCAUGCCGUAAA